rnacentral:rRNA from 1 species
UACGUAGGGUGCGAGCGUUGUCCGGAAUUAUUGGGCGUAAAGAGCUCGUAGGCGGUCUGUCGCGUCGGUCGUGAAAACUUGGGGCUUAACCCUGAGCUUGCGGUCGAUACGGGCAUGACUGGAGUUCGGCAGGGGAGACUGGAAUUCCUGGUGUAGCAGUGAAAUGCGUAGAUAUCAGGAGGAAUACCGGUGGCGAAAGCGACUCUCUGGACGGCAACUGACGCUGAGGCACGAAAGCGUGGGGAGCAAACAGG